GAUCCUGGCUCAGGAUGAACGCUGGCGGCGUGCUUAACACAUGCAAGUCGAACGAAGCACUUUAAUUGAUUUCUUCGGAAUGAAGUUUUUGUGACUGAGUGGCGGACGGGUGAGUAACGCGUGGGUAACCUGCCUCAUACAGGGGGAUAACAGUUGGAAACGACUGCUAAUACCGCAUAAGCGCACAGGAUUGCAUGAUCCAGUGUAGAAAACUCCGGUGUAUGAGAUGGACCGCG
rnacentral:rRNA from 1 species